CACCGCCCCAACUCACUUAUCCAUUACUCGGCCCAAGUCCUUCAUUCAAUAAGCAAUAGCAGCCAAACACCCACAGCAACAAUACGCGUAAAAAAUUACAGCCGACAAUAAUUCUUACCUGACCUAAACUGAAAAAUCCACAGAAAAAAUAUGCGAUCCAACCCUAGAGAAAACAACAACAUCAUCGACAACAACUCCGAACAACCCGCUACCCAAAAUCGUCAAAAUCCAACAUCAACAUCAACGUUAACAGCAACAACGAUACCUGAAUUCAGUAACCCAACUCCAAUCCAUGCCCGAUUCUGACGACCAGCAAAAACCCAACAACCCAACCCAUCAACUACCUUCAUCUCAUCCAAACGACACCACAUCAAUUCGAGCUUGCUUUGCUUACUUUCAUGUAAGGAUGCCUUAAUCAUACACCAAUUGAGAGAGGAAUUGAUGCAAGCCAAGUAAGAAAUUGAUCAAUUUGGACGAUUGCAUCUAGGGCAUCGCUAUUCAAAAACUGCUUGAUCAUCAACGGAUGUCUCCAAUGACAAGAAGUGGACAAAUCUAAGAGGAUAAAGGCCGAUACAAGAGCAUUCAGGAACUAGUAUUUCCUAUCCCCUAUGUGGGACAUUGUUCUUUUUCUCAUGUUAAUUUCCCUUUCCCUAAAGAUUGUAUCCCUUUUGUGCAAAUUUUGUAGGCAUUUAUGCCAUUUAUGUACACCUAUGAAGGUUUUUGGGGGAUAAUGGAUUGGUUUUAAAAAACAUAUACUUUCUUCAAAUACGUUAGGCCAACCCCUGGCUCAAAAGGGUCACCCAAUUAGGAUGCACGUUUAUUACAAUAUGCUUUUUU